rnacentral:rRNA from 3 species
GACGAACCGUGCGAACGUUGUUCGGAAUCACUGGGCUUAAAGGGCGCGUAGGCGGGCCUUCAAGUCCGGGGUGAAAUCCUCCAGCCUAACUGGAGAAGAGCCUCGGAGACUGAGGGCCUCGAGGAGGGUAGGGGCAAGCGGAACUAUGGGUGGAGCGGUGAAAUGCAUUGAUAUCCAUAGGAACUCCGGUGGCGAAGGCGGCUUGCUGGACCCUUUCUGACGCUGAGGCGCGAAAGCCAGGGGAGCAAACGGG